GGUGAACGCUGGCGGCGUGCCUAAUACAUGCAAGUCGAGCGAACAGACGAGGAGCUUGCUCCUCUGACGUUAGCGGCGGACGGGUGAGUAACACGUGGAUAACCUACCUAUAAGACUGGGAUAACUUCGGGAAACCGGAGCUAAUACCGGAUAAUAUAUUGAACCGCAUGGUUCAAUAGUUAAAGACGGUUUUGCUGUCACUUAUAGAUGGAUCCGCGCCGCAUUAGCUAGUUGGUAAGGUAACGGCUUACCAAGGCAACGAUGCGUAGCCGACCUGAGAGGGUGAUCGGCCACACUGGAACUGAGACACGGUCCAGACUCCUACGGGAGGCAGCAGUAGGGAAUAUUCCGCAAUGGGCGAAAGCCUGACGGAGCAACGCCGCGUGAGUGAUGAAGGUCUUCGGAUCGUAAAACUCUGUUAUUAGGGAAGAACAAAUGUGUAAGUAACUAUGCACGUCUUGACGGUACCUAAUCAGAAAGCCACGGCUAACUACGUG
rnacentral:rRNA from 1 species